AGAACGAUGGUCAGAGGACAAAGAAAAAAUUAGGUUCCCUAAUAUACUACUUACUAACAAAACCAGUGUAUUUAGAAAAAGAAACAGAAAACAAAAAAAAGAAAUUCAAAAUCAAAGAAUCAUUUGUUAAAGAGAAAGAGGAAGUCGCCGGCUAGGGUUUGCCAUAAAGCAAAGGAGAACGAUGUCAUCUUCGAGUGCGACUGACAGUGAUUAGGAGUGCGAGGUACCUAAACAAGAUCUGCAGAUCUGGAAAAAGAGUUGGCGUUAGUUAGUAACAGUAGAAGAAAAGGAUGAAAACGAAGAAGAAGAAAAGUGUCCAUAAUUAUGCUCUAUGCUUGUGUUGGGCCUAAAACUAUGCCUCAUUUACAGGGCUUGAUUACUGGCUUUAUUCUCUUGGGCUCAUCAUUACAUGUGCCACAUGGGCCCAUGCUUUCUGAAUCGAUCUGAAAUGGACACUUAGACUCGAAGAAUACAAGAUAGGGUAAACAAACAUUUCUCUUCUCUGCGAUGUAAAAAAGAGAGAGAACAGAGGGAAGCGUAGGCGAGGGAUUUUGCUUCGUAUCAGAAAGUAAAGGGAGAUAGAAUUCAUUGGAAGCUUUUGGCAUGGGCGAUAUGGGCAAGAUGAAAAUCUCUGUGAAUCAUCUUACCCACACCCCCCAUACCGAUGGUUUUCAAUAAUUCAUCCCUUUCCUUCUCUUUUCACUUACCGUAUCCGAUCAAAAGCUUCAAAAACUACAAUAUCUAGCGUUUUAUGAGAUAUAUGUCAUUAUCUCAUAACCAAGCACCAAUCCAAUUUGCAAAACUACUUCGGUUUGCUCAGCCAUGCAACCGUUAAUCUGAUUUAGGAUCGAGCGGAUUUUUUUUCAACUGUUAAUCUUUAUAGACUCAAAUUUGAGUUGAAGUUCAUAUCACGGGCUUGAAAUACUGACUUAAAGCUCCGACGCUGAAUAUAGAUAAAUUUGAGUAAGUGCUCAUCUCGUUUGUUUAUUUCUCGAGUUUGAUCAUUAAAUACUUUUUCAAAUUGAAUCUCUAGCAUUUCGCAAAUGAGUUAAUUUAUUUGGGGUCCUAAUCUUAUGAUUGAAAAAUUUGAACUACAUGUAUAUUUAUUAUAAGAGAACUUUAAUGCGGGACUAA